GUGCCAGCCGCCGCGGUAAGACAGAGGGUGCAAGCGUUGUUCGGAAUCAUUGGGCGUAAAGGGCGCGUAGGCGGCGCUGUGUGUCGAAUGUGAAAUACCUGGGCUUAACCGAGGAAGUGCAUUCGAAACUACAGUGCUAGAAUCCCAAAGAGGUUGGUGGAAUUCCCAGUGUAGAGGUGAAAUUCGUAGAUAUUGGGAGGAACAUCGGUGGCGAAGGCGACCAACUGGUUGGUGAUUGACGCUGAGGCGCGAAAGCGUGGGGAGCAAACAGGAUUAGAAACCCUUGUAGUCC
rnacentral:rRNA from 1 species